AGUGAACGCUGGCGGUAGGCCUAACACAUGCAAGUCGAACGGCAGCACAGUAAGAGCUUGCUCUUACGGGUGGCGAGUGGCGGACGGGUGAGGAAUACAUCGGAAUCUACUUUUUCGUGGGGGAUAACGUAGGGAAACUUACGCUAAUACCGCAUACGACCUACGGGUGAAAGCAGGGGAUCUUCGGACCUUGCGCGAUUGAAUGAGCCGAUGUCGGAUUAGCUAGUUGGCGGGGUAAAGGCCCACCAAGGCGACGAUCCGUAGCUGGUCUGAGAGGAUGAUCAGCCACACUGGAACUGAGACACGGUCCAGACUCCUACGAGAGGCAGCAGUGGGGAAUAUUGGACAAUGGGCGCAAGCCUGAUCCAGCCAUACCGCGUGGGUGAAGAAGGCCUUCGGGUUGUAAAGCCCUUUUGUUGGGAAGGAAAAGCAGCAGGUUAAUACCCCGCUGUUCUGACGGUACCCAAAGAAUAAGCACCGGCUAACUUCGUG
rnacentral:rRNA from 1 species